GCAAGUCGAGCGCACUCUUCGGAGUGAGCGGCGGACGGGUUAGUAACGCGUGGGAACGUACCCAGAUCUACGGAAUAGCCUCGGGAAACUGAGAGUAAUACCGUAUACGCCCUUCGGGGGAAAGAUUUAUCGGAUUUGGAUCGGCCCGCGUUAGAUUAGAUAGUUGGUGAGGUAACGGCUCACCAAGUCUACGAUCUAUAGCUGGUUUUAGAGGAUGAUC
rnacentral:rRNA from 1 species